GGCGCGCUUAACGCAUGCAAGUCGAGCGAUGAGGCUCCCUUCGGGGAGUACAUCAGCGGCAGACGGGUGAGUAACACGUAGAUAACCUGCCCUCAAGACGGGGACAACCGGUGGAAACAGCGGCUAAUACCCGAUAUGCUCACAGGAUCGGGAGAUCGAGUGAGGAAAGCGCCCCUUCGGGGGAGAGUGUUUGAGGAGGGAUCUGCGGCCCAUCAGCUAGUUGGUGAGGUAACGGCUCACCAAGGCGAAGACGGGUAGGGGGUGUGAGAGCAUGGCCCCCCACAAUGGGACUGAGACACGGCCCAUACUCCUACGGGAGGCAGCAGCGGGGAAUAUUGCGCAAUGGACGGAAGUCAGACGCAGCGACGCCGCGUGGGUGAGGAAGGCCUUCGGGUUGUAAAGCCCUUUUCAGGGGAGCGAGAAAGGACGGUACCCUUGGAAUAAGCGUCGGCUAACUACGUGCCAGCAGCCGCGGUAAGACGUAGGACGCAAGCGUUAUCCGGAUUUACUGGGCGUAAAGCGCCUGUAGGCGGUCAAGUAAGUCGGAUGUGAAAGCCCCGUGCUCAACGCGGGGAAGCCAUUCGAUACUGCGUGACUAGAGAACGGCAGAGGGAAACGGAAUUUCUGGUGUAGCGGUAAAAUGCGCAGAGAUCAGAAAGAACACCGAUGGCGAAGGCAGUUUCCUAGGCCGCAUCUGACGCUGAGAGGCGAAAGCUAGGGGAGCAAACAGGAUUAGAGACCCUGGUAGUCCUAGCUGUAAACGAUGGAUGCUAGGUGUGGGCCGGAAAGGUCCGUGCCGUAGUUAACGCGAUAAGCAUCCCGCCUGGGGAGUACGCCCGCAAGGCUAAAACUCAAACGAAUUGACGGGGACCC
rnacentral:rRNA from 1 species